CAAACCCAGGGUCUCUCACGUGCAAGGUGAGCACUCUACUGCUGAGCCACAACCCCAGCCCCAGUCUGCGGCUCGUUAAAUCCUUUCUCAUGAUAAAAUCUUCAAUCUGUUCCUGUAUAAGUUCUGGGUUUUUUUCUGUAAAAUUGUUUAUUUAUAUACAAAACAUUUUUUUUCCCCUAGGAAACAGCCCAGUUUAAAAUGAUCAUUGGAAAUCAUCUCAGAGCAUCUCAGUCCCACUUUCCUUCCUAGGUACAUUUUGUCCCCUUUCACCUGUCCUCCAUCCCUUCCCUAGGUAUGCUCUGUCCCUUCAUCUCUCUUCUAGGUACAUUUUGUCCCUUGUACCUCUCCCCUUUUACAUUUCCUGGAUAUGUGGGUGUCCUCUCUUUUGGCUACAUCUGUAUCUCAGACACUUGACUGCUUGUUCAUGGGUACCCCUCACUGGUCCUGCCACAGGCACUAACACAGCUGGCAGUCUCCUCCCUGGGGUGUCAGACUCUGGCCUCAAUAGCACUUUGGUUUUUUUUCUGCUUUUGCAUCACUGUGACCAGAAUACCAAACAGGAGCAUUUAUUUGGGGCUCAAAAUUUCAGAGUUCCAUUGCCUCUGGGACCAAGACGAGGCUGCACACCAUGGGUGAAGGACCAGUGGAGGAAAGCUACUUGAUUUAUGAUUAUGUCCAGAAGUGUGUGGAGUGGUUGCACCCUUCCAGGGCAUGCCUCCAGUUGCCCACCUUGAACAGCCACUCCCCACUUGCUGACAGUUACUACCCUGGGGAACUUGUGUAGUCAGUCCAUUCAAACUAAGAGGAACUGAUUCAGUGACAGCUCUCAUAAUGCAAUUAUUUUACUUCUGAAUAUUCCUGCAUUAAUGGGAUCUUUUAGCUGAAACUUCAUAUCCAAACCAUGACACAACUGCUAUAGGGACAACCUCUGCAGUGCCACUUCCCAGACCUGAUCCAGUUGUAGCCUUGGCAGUUCUGGCUCCACCUACUGCCAUAUGCAUCUGAAGCUCCUGGCUCCUGGCUACUGACUACUGGGUAUGGGAUUUUGCUUUACCAGCAGCUGCUUGAAGAAGCCAGAUGACAACCCUGAUUUGUGAGUCUACCCAUGGAAGGUAUGCUUCCCAGUGAGAGAUCACAGAUGGAAUCAGCAGAUAAUUUUUUUGUUCCAUUUACCAACAUCCUAUGUGGCUACAUGAUUGGCUGUAUUGAUUGUAGUUCAUGGAUCAGCGACCAGGUUAGGUGCAGUAUCUCUUCAUAUUGGCAUCCAGUCUUCC
rnacentral:lncRNA from 1 species